rnacentral:rRNA from 1 species
CCCUUAGAUGUUCUGGGCUGCACGCGCGCUACACUGAAGCUAUCAACACGUUUUCCCUCCCUGAGAAGGGCGGGUAACCUUUUGAAUCAGCUUCGUGGUAGGGAUCGGGGCUUGCAAUUGUUCCCCGUGAACCAGGAAUUCCUAGUAGACGCGAGUCAUAAGCUCGCAUCGAUUUAGUCCCUGCCCUUUGUACACACCGCCCGUCGCUACUACCGAUUGAACGUUUUAGUGAGGCAUUUGGACCGACGCAUCUCAGUUUAACCGCUGGUUUGUGUUGGAAAGACUUCCAAACUUGAGCGUUUAGAGGAAGUAAAAGUCGUAACA